rnacentral:lncRNA from 1 species
AAUAAGUGAGGGGCCAAAAAAAGGGUCCCAAAUAAGCAUUUUAUUAGUUUUCAGUCAAUAACUUUUGUUUAAGUGUAUAAAUCUGUCUGAAAUUAUACCACAAGUUUCCAUACUACAAAGGGAUGGUUAUAUGGGGUAGUGGACCAAAUUAUUAAGCAAUUAGGGGCAAAACAAGGAUUUUUCUGGUUAAAGGACAAUUUAGAC